rnacentral:lncRNA from 1 species
CCGCUUCGCCUGUGUCCCGCCUCCCCGGCCGCGCCUCGCCUUGGCGGAGGGAGCCGGGUGGUGAGACCGCGUUCCUUCCGGCGUCUCCAACCGCCGCCUGCUCCCGCCGUCCACCCGCGCGGGCCGCCUGGGACGGGGAGGGCCGGGCUGCGGGCUUUUCUCCCUUCCAGAGUCCUGCGCCCGCCCAAAGCCCCCCCGCAGAGGCUGGGCAGCGGCUCCGGGAAGUGGACGCCGUUUGCCCAGACGGUGGGCUCGACUGAAGCGGCGCGGUCCCGGGUGGGGCCGCCCGGGAAGAAAGUCUCCCAGUUAAGCUGCCGUGCAAUUAAGAUGGUUGGGUUUGGAUUGUUGUACUUUUUUUUUUGUUCGUUGCAUUUUUAGGAACAAAAAAAAAAGCCCAACCCUUCACACCACUUCAUCCGCAUCUCAAGACCAGAAGCCGACCCCAGCGGCUUGGGGAAAUGGAGCCCCGCACCCCACAAGGGGGAGGGUGGGACGGGCACCUCCGCACUGCGCGGCCUGCGGAGUCACCGAUUCGCGUUGGGAGCGCGCCAGGAGCGCCAGGGCUCUAGCCGGGGGCUCCGGGCAAGGCGCAACCAGAAAAGGGUUCAGUAUCCCCCAUCACCCCCACCCCCAACCGUACCCUCUUUCUUUGCGGGCUUUAGGCAGGACACCAGAGACCCAAUUCUAUUUAAAAUUCUCUUUUAAGAAAAGGAACGCCUGUUUUUGCCUUUGGGGGAAAGGAUGAACUUUCAAAUUGGCUUUAAAUUAUCCACCACUAACAGUUACUCAGUCGAUAACCUGACUAUUCUGACGUCCACCUCCCGUUUGAGGACCUUGCCCAAUAGCAAACGUACUAAGCACUUAACCAGUGAACGGUGUGAAGGAUGCAAACAUGGAUGAUGAAGGAAUGGCUCCUCCAGAAUUUACGAUCUUGGGAGAAGUGAGAACAGCGACUGGGAAACUGCCACUAGAAAAAGAUGACUGUCCAACUAAAACCUGCAUACACAGCUACAUCCUUCCCUGGAAGAGCACAGUGGAACUAGAUCCUAGUACAGAUAGCACAGGGAUUGUCAACAUUCUUGUCACACUGAAAUUUCCUUCUACUGAUCUCCAAAAACAGAUGCCCUGCCCAGAAGCAACACGGCUAAUGGGUGCCACCGUGGAGACCCAGGCAACCUGAGAGUAGUCCUGACAGCCAGACCUCCAGGGUGGAAAUGGGAAGGUCUACAGAGAAAGAGAAAGUUCUGCUGGUAACAUACUGUAUAAGCCAGGAGAGAAAAAGAACUUGAAAGAGGAACACAUUUUUCUUCAUUUUUUUUUUUUCAAAAAAGUGGGAGACAUGAAACUAAACAGGAAUGAUACAUUGACAAUAAAGAACAUGAAGAGAUGGUUCCUGGACACUACAAGAAACCUGUGGUCCCAGCUACUCGAAGACUGAAGUGAGAGGAUCACUUGAGCCCAGAAGGUCGAUGCUACAGUGAGCCAUGAUCAUGCCACUAUACUCCAGCCUAGGUGACAGAGCGAGACUCCAUCUC